rnacentral:rRNA from 1 species
AUUGAACGCUGGCGGCAGGCCUAACACAUGCAAGUCGAGCGGUUGAGGUAGCUUGCUACCGAUGCAGCGGCGGACGGGUGAGUAAUACAUGGGAAUCUGCCUGGUAGUGGGGGACAACGUUUCGAAAGGAACGCUAAUACCGCAUACGCCCUACGGGGGAAAGGGGGGGAGUCUUCGGACCUCUCGCUAUCAGAUGAGCC